UGAUCCUCUCCUCGUGGGAUGUCCUUUAGCGUAAGUUCUUUUCCAAAUAAAAACGUUCAGUUUUUGGAUCGAUUCUAGAGUUCAAAUCUUAAUUCCAUUUUUUGUAUGCAUGUCGAAGAUUGGGGAUGAGGAAGGUGAAUCAAGGUUGUUUGCGACCUGGGCCGAGAAGAAUGGAAGGUUGUGGGUGAAAUUAAGGUGAAAUUCGAGAAACUCCUUAUUCUAUUUCGGUUUUAAGCUUUGGGUUUCACUGCACCUCGUAAUCAGGUUAGUUAUCAGCUUAUGUCCUGUGAUCUAGUAUUUAAAAAUAUGGAUGCUGUUUGUCGCAGAAGAAGUUUGGAUCUACUUACUAGUUGUACAGCUACUUGUGUAUGAAGUGACUUUCUUGUGUAUGAAGUGUCUUUAUAUAUAUGUUUUACAUUCAGUCUAAUCUUACAAGUGUAACUACUGUAAGCUUCAUUUCUACUGCUACUACCGCAUCUGUGAUUGGUUUUAAUAAGUUAUUUUUGUAGGUCUUAGUUGACAGUCUUGAUAUUUUGAAUAGUUUGAAGCUUUCGUAAUAUGCCUGGUAAAUUGCUUAUUCUCAAAACUAUGCUUGGUAGGAUGUUGAACCAAAUAACAGAAAAAUUGGGAAACUUGUGAAUAUGCUUUGAAGAACCCACUGCGAAUUCCCUAGGUAAUGCUUUUGGUGAGCUUGAUGUAGAGUUUAAAGUUCAAAGUCGAUUCCAUAGUGUGCUAUGCAUUUAU
rnacentral:lncRNA from 1 species